UCGAGGGAGCAAGGGUCUGUUCAUAUAAACUUCCCUUGUUCAAAAUGGCGGCAGGGAUUCCCCCGAGGGGAAGUGCUUAGGGAAGUUCGCGAGUGCAUGUCUAAAAGUGGAGUGGAACACAGCCAUAGGCCACUAGUGUUAAAGGGUUAGUUCACCCAAAAAUGAAAAUUCUGUCAUUUAUUACUCACGCUCAUGCCGUUCCAGACCUGUAAGACCUUUGUUAAUCUUCGGAACGCAAAUUGAGAUAUUUUUGUUUAAAUCCGAUGGCUCCGUGAGGCCUACAUAGGGAGCACUGACAUUUCCUCUCUCAAGAUCCAUAAAGGUACUAAAAACAUAUUUAAAUCAGUUCAUGUGAGUACAGUGGUUCAAUAUUAAUAUUAUAAAGCGACGAGAAAAAAAAAAAAAAAACUAAUUAUUUAGUGAUGGCCGAUUUCAAAACACUGCUUCAGGAAGCUUCGGACCGUAAUGAAUCGCUGGCCAAAGUCACGUGAUUUCAGCAGUUUGGCAACAUGAUUCGACACACUGAUUCAUUAUGCUCCGAAUCUUUUUGAAGUAGUGUUUUGAAAUCGGCCAUCACUAAAUAAGUCUUAAGUAUUUUUUUUUGGCGCACCAAAAAUAUUCUCGUCGCUGUGUAAUAUUAAUAUUGAACCACUGUACUCACAUGAACUGAUUUAAAUAUGUUUUUAGUACCUUUAUGGAUCUUGAGAGAGGAAAUGUCAUUGCUCCCUAUGUAGGCCUCACUGAGCCAUCGGAUUUAAACAAAAAUAUCUUCAUGUGUGUUCCGAAGAUCAACGAAGGUCUUACGGGUGUAAAACGGCACGAAGAUGUCAUCUACUUACUCCUCCGCCGCAUCCAUGGCAGGAAAUUGAGUCCAGGUCAUGAAGGUCACGUGAUAUUCUUCACCUGUCGUGAUGUCCACAUCUAAUACUUCAACCAGCUCAUCUAAUUGAAGUGGAAAGGUGAAGUUCUGCAGAAAUCUCAUCAUCUCAUCGAUCACAGAGAUGCUUGAU